rnacentral:tRNA from 1 species
GCUUUGGUGUUUCAAUGGUAGAAUACCUGUGUUCCUUACAGGAGACCUGGGUUUGAUUCCUGGCCAAUGCA